rnacentral:rRNA from 1 species
ACAUGCCUACAACAUAGCGUUAAUGCACCAGAUACCAUUAGAACUCUAUAGUUAAGCACGCUCAUGCUAGAGUAGUACUGGGAUGGGUGACCACUCAGAAAGUCCUAGUAUUUUACAUUCC